rnacentral:rRNA from 1 species
GUUAUAAGACGAGUCGGGAAAGUUUUUUCGCUAAGAGAUCAGUCUAUGUCCUAUCAGCUAGUUGGUGAGGUAAUGGCUCACCAAGGCUAUGACGGGUAUCUGGUUUGAGAGGAUGAUCAGACACACUGGAACUGAGACACGGUCCAGACUCCUACGGGAGGCAGCAGUGAGGAAUAUUGCACAAUGGAGGAAACUCUGAUGCAGCAACGCCGCGUGGAGGAUGACGCAUUUCGGUGUGUAAACUCCUUUUAAGAGGGAAGAUAAUGACGGUACCUCUUGAAUAAGCACCGGCUAACUCCGUGCCAGCAGCCGCGGUAAUACGGAGGGUGCAAGCGUUACUCGGAAUCACUGGGCGUAAAGGGUGCGUAGGCUGGCUUCUAAGUCAGAUGUGAAAUCCAAUGGCUUAACCACUGAACUGCAUUUGAAACUGGGAGCCUAGAGUUCAGAAGGGGCAGAUGGAAUUAGUGGUGUAGGGGUAAAAUCCGUAGAUAUCACUAGGAAUAUCAAAAGCGA